CCAGGUCCAUUCCUGGGUUCCCAGAAAAUGUCUACAAGUCAUAUAUUUUGCAGAGGCUUAUAAAGGCAAACCCAUAAGGUUACAUUUUUCUCAGCAGGUCCAAUCAGCGGCAAGCAUAUAUCCUGAAGCACUUCUUGUCUGUGUACCUCCCACUUACAUCCAAUCAGGGGCAAGCAUACAUCCUGACGUAUUUCCUGCCUACGUACCUCACACCUACAUCCAGUACGAUUAGGCCAAAUAAACUUGUUUAAGGGAGUGAAGCAUGUGGCUUGUUUUCUCCCAUAAGCAAUAGCUUCCAGCAUUUCGGGGAAAGAUCUGUCCUUGGGCAAGACACUUAAAGGUUAGCAACAGUUUUUUGUUCCAUGGAUCUCUUAGGCACAGUAAUUAAAACUUAAAACAUACCUUUUUGGCUCUUACAACGUUUGCCUUGCAAGCCAGAGGACCCGAGUUUGAUCCCCUUCAGAUCCUGUCAGCUUUUCAGGCAACGGGCAGAAUCCAGAAAGGUAACAGCACAAGGAUAUGGGAAUCUUUGCAGGACCGGUGGCUUUCCUUCCUUCCUUUUUCCAUUUAUCCUUUCUUUAGAAGGCAGAUAAGGCGGCAUUAUUGAUUGAGGAGU
rnacentral:lncRNA from 1 species